rnacentral:rRNA from 1 species
UACAGAGGGUGCAAGCGUUAAUCGGAAUUACUGGGCGUAAAGCGCACGUAGGUGGCUUGAUAAGUUGGGUGUGAAAUCCCCGGGCUUAACCUGGGAAUUGCAUUCAAGACUGUCUUGCUAGAGUGUGGAAGAGGGAAGUGGAAUUCCUGGUGUAGCGGUGAAAUGCGUAGAUAUCAGGAGGAACACCGGUGGCGAAGGCAGGUCACUGGGCCGCAACUGACGCUGAGGAGCGAAAGCGUGGGGAGCGAACAGG